rnacentral:rRNA from 1 species
UCCAGACUCCUACGGGAGGCAGCAGUGGGGAAUAUUGCACAAUGGGGGAAACCCUGAUGCAGCGACGCCGCGUGAGCGAAGAAGUAUUUCGGUAUGUAAAGCUCUAUCAGCAGGGAAGAAAAAAAUGACGGUACCUGAGUAAGAAGCACCGGCUAAAUACGUGCCAGCAGCCGCGGUAAUACGUAUGGUGCAAGCGUUAUCCGGAUUUACUGGGUGUAAAGGGAGCGUAGGCGGCGCGUUAAGUCUGAUGUGAAAACCCGAGGCUCAACCACGGGAGUGCAUUGGAAACUGGCGGGCUGGAGUGCCGGAGAGGUAAGCGGAAUUCCUAGUGUAGCGGUGAAAUGCGUAGAUAUUAGGAGGAACACCAGUGGCGAAGGCGGCUUACUGGACGGCAACUGACGCUGAGGCUCGAAAGCGUGGGGAGCAAACAGGAUUAGAUACCCUCGUAC